GAUUUGACGUGGAAUAUACAGUUGAUGCCGUCGGUUUUUAAAGUUUUUACAUCUGAAUGUCUUAUUUAUAGUAUAGAGGCCUGAUGAAGCAAACGAGAGUUUGCGAAACGUUGCUGAAUAUACUUUAAGAUCUUU